rnacentral:lncRNA from 10 species
CACCCGAUUGGGAGGGGUUGCCUCUCCCUGUGUCCACACAUAUGCCUUGAGUUGCUCUUCAGUGAAUAUCACUUUUCCUUUCAUGUUUUUUCUACAUGCUAUUAUCUGUAUGAAAUGAAGACCAAGAAAGGAUGGGAAGAAGGAGAAGAAAAAUUUUGAUUUAUCUCAGAAACUAUACUCCGAAGUGAGAGUCCUGGUUGCAGCAUCCUUCACCGAAGCACGAAGCAGAAUCAAGCUGUUGCCAUGAAGCUUGUUUCAAGAGCUCAGAAAUACUCCAGGGACUCCUUUACUACUGCUUUUCAAAGAGGCCUUUUUUUCUCUCUUCUCCUUUUCCUGCAAAGAGGGUUAUAUCCAGUGCUCAAGGACAUGGGAUUAUCAGCCUAAGGCAUGAGUACAUGCUGUGGAAACAGAAAUAUGUAUGAAGGGAUGUAUGAAACCACAGAAUAAAUGGAAUCCACAUUCUUGAAGUAGCUACAACUCUACUUGAGGGAAAAUAAUGCUUGGCUUCAGGUAUUUGGAAAUACUGCACAUUCGGGCUAAGAAUGAGAUGACCAUUUUCUCAUUUUCAACUAAUUAUUUCAAGAUACCAAAACAAAACAAACAAAUGCCAUUGGUGAGUACCUGCUAUAUACAAAAUGAGCUGUAUGUAGUGAAGUGGCCAGGAAAGGCAGAGUUCACAGCCAUAGGUAGGGCAGGCCCUGGCCACCCUUUAGGGGAGCAAGAAAGGUAAACCAGGUGGAUGAAACAUAUCCUAUAGCAUAUUGUAAUUGGUAAGUGGAUGCAAGUGGUUUCUUAGCAAGUCAGAGGCAUCGGGCUGUCUAAAAGAGGUAAGAAGAUUAUACUGACAGAGAGGUGGAGCAAACAAUGAGGUGUCUGGGAGGAAGCAUUUGAAGAGCUGCAAGGAGGUCUGAUUUAUGGUAGAAAAACUGAGUCCCCAGGAACUGGGGAAGUGACUGGCAAGAAGAGGACAGGGCUUCUAGUCUAGAGGAAUCAAGGCAUAGGACAUAUUGCUUACCUAGAGAUUCAGUCAGGGGUAUGGGAUCCAGCCUGGGUAUAGUUUUUGGAAGGCUGCUUACUUGAUUGGGUUGGAGUGGGACUAACAGCAAGUGUGAUUUGAUGCUGACCCUUCAGUACUGGCCUGCGUAGCUUACAACAGUUACCCUGUCUAAGAAGGAGAUUGAUUCCAGAACCCAGAAUAAAGCAGAGAAUGCAGAUGGUGGUCACAUGGGUUCAGGUAAGGAGUAAGGAAAGUCACUGGCCCUUCUCCAAGUGCUGUGCAGGUGCAAAAGUUAUUUAAUUUUCUGUUUCUCUCUUGAAUGAAUAUGCUACCUAUUUGGUGGUAUAACACGUAAACUCAUUCAUAUUAAAUGUCAAUACAUGCUUUAAUGUUUUAAUCAAUAAAUGUACUAAAUAAUUUAAAUUUACAAGGGAUUUUGGAAACAGAUCCAACUUUAAGCAUGGCAGGAAAUUGAUAUUUGGACAAGGAAUGUUAGCACAUUCUUAGAUCAUACUCAGAUUUAAGGUAAGACUACUCUAUUUUUCAAACCAAUCUAGGUAUAUAAAACCAAAUCUAGUUAGAAUGAGAAUACUAAAUUAAACAUAAGUUUGUUAUUCAGAUAUUCCAUGUAGAACUGUGGGAUGAAGUGCAAUCAGCUGUGACUGGUUGGAAUAAGGACCUGCCUUAUCCCAUGGAGAGUUAGAGAAUCUGUUCCAACAAGGACAGAAGGUCCAGGUGGGAAGAGCUCUGGAAAACAAAACUCUCUGACAGCGCUCUUGAAAGCUCUGCUGGCAUCCCAAGGCACGUAGAUAGUACCUAUACAUCUCAUCAGGAACAUGGAUGGUUCUCUGCUAUCAGCUGAAGUGCUGUGACCACAAAACUGAAAAUUCCCAUUCUGUGUCCUUGCCAAUAAAGAAUGUCCAUCAGAGCACGCCCAGUAUCCUAGCUCCUUAUCCAGACUGUGCUUCUCAAUGUGACAAGGAAGACUGCAACCCUAUUUGCUUCUGAUAACCUUCCUAUGACUAAGUCUUCUCUGGUUGAGAUUCCUGGGGAGGACACUCAUGACAAUUGUGGUUUUUGGAGGAUCUAUCUUUAGGCAGCUAAAAGGAAGUUCAGAGAAAGCCCCUUCCUAUACUUCGCAGGAGAAAAAAGAGCAAAGGACAAUCUAACUGGCUGAAUGAGAGGAGCGGGAAGAAGAAAGGGCCAAAAGAUGACAGAAAAUUGCCCUUUCAGAUGUUCUAAAAUGGCCAAAAUAGCAGUGACUCCUAUUUUGUAACUUGGUGAUUCUUAAUACAGCUUCCAUUUAAUGGUCUAAGAUUAGGAGACCACAAGUCCCUGGAGCAACAGGAGCAAAUAGGGGAAGGUUAGAAUGCCAUCCUUCUGGAACACCCUGAGAAGUCCAGUUUUUCAGACUCCUUCCUGCUGAGGACUCAACCUAUUCUUCAAAUGAUGGGUUUUUGGAUUGAGAACUGCCUGAGAACUGCAAUAUGUGCCGGGAUCUUGAUUUUCUAUCUGGGACAAAAGACUGAGACUGGGCCUCAUUCUUCUCUUUGUUCAUUCUUGAUUUCUUUGGAUUAUAUAUUAUAUUAAACAACAUUAUCAUUGGCUGUUGAUCUAUCUCAUUGGCUGUGGUAUUAGCCAGUUGCAUAGCUCCCUGCAGGUGAGAUUUCCCUGCCUGUUAUUCUGACCUUGUUACUUGUUGAACUUUACUUCUAGCAAUUAAAU